UGGUUAUGAAACAAGAGGAAAAGCAUAGUUGGAAAGAAAAGUGCGUGUCUGAUCUCAGUUCUAUCAAAAACCAAGACAAGAACAAGGCAAAUGCUUUAGAACCUCCUGCUUCAGUGUCUUCACUUGUAAAAUGAUGUCGGAAAACCUAGUUGCCAUGGAUACGGAGCUUUCAGUGACCUCUCAUGGCUGAUCAUGACCAGGAGGACUCCACCUGAACUAUGGAAAGGCUCGUCAGAGAACCAUUCCUGAUGACAUACAACCUGUCAAUAGAGACAGAAGUAUGGGACAUCCGUGCAACAACAUACUACCCUAUGGGAGCCAGUAAGAUGACCCAGCAUGUAAAAACACUUGCUGUGUGAACCUGAGGACCCAGGUUCCAUCUCCAGAUCCUACCUUGGAUAACUUCUUGUCAACCUAACACAAGCUAGAGUCAUUUGGGAAGAGGGAUUUUAAAUUGAGAAAACGCCUCCAUCACAUCGACCUAUAUAUAACUCCAGUUUGUGCCAAGCUGAUACAAAAUUAGCCAGAAGAGUGGGUGUAUACAUGCCACCGCGUGUGUGGAAUUCAGAGAGCAACUUUGUAGAGGCACUUCUCUCCUUUCAUUUAUGUGGACUCUGGGUAUCAACUUCACGUGGUAAGACCUGUGCAGAGGUCACUGCUUCCACUUUGCCAGCCCAAGCUUCAGAUUUUUAGCUGGCAUUGUGUUGCUUUCUGGAUUAUGAAGGAAACUGACAUUUCCUAAGAUUUAUUUUAAUGUUGUUUUUUUUGUGUGUGUGUUUUAUCACAUGAGUGUAGAUGCCACAGAUCCUCCUAGAUCUGAGGUUACAGGUGAUUAGUAUCAGCCUGACAUGGUGCUAGAAACUGAACCCAGGUCCUCUGCAAGAGCAGUACCUGUUUUUAACCAUUGAGCCAUCUCUCUGGCCUUGGAAAUUGACAUUUUAUAAUAUAUAACUCUAUCAUCUGUGUACAUUGUAAAAAUUUCAGAUUUAAAAACUCUUAUUUAAGAAUAAUAUUUUUAAAAUUUCCACAUUUUUUAAAAUCACAUUUGUAAAUCUAAAUAUAACAUCCUCCUGACAUCAUAAUGAGUAGUGUUUUUAAAAUUUUCAUUAUUUAUUCAUAGCCUGUGUAGCUAAAUACAGUUGCUUUUCUUAAUCUAGUUUAUAACUCCAGUCAUUAUCCACAGGCCUUUUUGCAUAUAACAUUAAUUACAACAUUGUGAACAAAUACCAGCUUCUUCCCCCUUCCUAAACAUACAACACUUUUUUUCUUACUGACUGACCAAGACUUGUCCAUCAUCAUCAUUCUUUAUUCAAUGCCCCUUUUCACUCUGAUUUUUGACAUCUUUAUGCAUUAUGUUUCUUAACAAUUUUUUUUCUUUCUGUGAAGCUUUAGGCCAUUGGCAUUUACAGUUAAUACUCAUGGACUUAAGCUUGGAUUGAAGUUUAUGUUUGCAUUAUGUCCUUCCUAUUGGUCUCAAUUCUUCCACGUUUUAUUUUCUCCCCCCUUAUUACAUUUUGAUUGAUCAACUCCUCCACUUUAAUAUUCCUUUUUACUAGAUUACUUCCAAUGGUUUUAAUUAUUUCCCUAGAAAUCACAUCAAGACCUUGCUGUACACAAAGGUUAGACGUUGCAUAAUUAGCACACUUGAAGGAACACAAGGAUGCUGACGCUCAAGCUUCACUUAUCCUGCACCCAACACACAUCACCUCACUCCAGAAUUCAUUUUAUGUCUGUGGUGAUUGUGUGUGGAGCUUCCAUAAAGCAAAGCUCAUGACAGUUUGUUGUAGAUCUGCAGUGACUCUAGAGCUGAAGUGUGCUUUGCUGUUAAGCUUUUUUCCCUGUGUCUCUGCAUUUUUGCCUUCUUGUGGUCUUCAUUGAGAAUUGUACCAAUCUUCUCGUUGAUUUUCAGUGUGUUGAAUUAUUUCCCGAGUAGAUAAAUAAAAUGAAAUUUGUAGGUCAUUGAUCAAUCUAAAAUUAACCUAGGUUAAACCUAACAAGACCUGUUGCUGGAAAAUGAUUCAGUAGUUAAGAGCAUUGACUGCUCUUGCAGAGGACCCAGGUUUGGUUCCCAGCACCCAGGUUGGGUGGAUCACAAUCACCUGGAUCUGAUUCUUCAGGGGAUCCAACACGCUCUGGCUUCCUUGGUCACCUGCACAUGCAUAGUACACAAAAUCUAAUGCAAGUGUAUGCAAAUACAUCUAAAAAUUAGUAAAUCCUUAAUUAGGAAAGGAUGACAAGACCUUGGACUAAGGCAGUGAUGGCGUGAGUGGAAUGCCGAGGAAACGCUAAAAAAGGUUUAAAAGGAUUAGCUUGGAUCUCUGAGUUCAUUUAGAAUACAGGAGAUAAGUGUUUCUUUUAUAAUAAUAUAAAUCUUAAAUACUUGUGGGAACAUAAUGCCAAGAAAAGUUUAACUCCCUACCAUAAUUUUUGUUCUUCUUUUCCCCCCAAGUUAAAAAGUAGUAAUAAGCCAGGCGGUGGUGGCACAUGCCUUUAAUCCCAGCACUCGGGAAGCAGAGCCAGGUGGAUCUCUGUGAGUUCGAGGCCAGCCUGGACUACCAAGUGAGUUCCAGGAAAGGUUCAAAGCUACACAGAGAAACCCUGUCUUGAA